CCACCUGCUGGCAGAGAAUGAGUCUGCAUACAUAUGCCAUGCCGCCUGGGAAACACUGGACUGUGGUAUAAAUAAAUUCAACUGUACAACAGGUUCACUGCAAUUCAUGUUAUUAUGUUAGAAUUAAAUAACAUUAAAAAUAAUACACAUGCACUGAUCUGUACAUAGUAAAUGCAGUUAUUUUUAAAGGUGCAGUGUGUAAAUUCUAGCAGCAUCUAGUGGUGAGGUUGCAAAUUGCAACCAACGGCUCAGUCCCCGCUCACCCCUCGCUUUAGAGAAGCUACGGUGGCCGACACACGUAAAGACAGCAGAGAGCAAUGAGAUUUCUUUACAAAGUGACUGCUGCCUCGCGAGGCGACGACGCCAUCUUUUCUUCAAGUGACCGAGACGGUAAGUUGGAUUGCUUUCCUCUUGAUAAAAGUACACGGGAAAAAAACAUUUUUGUUGAUAAUUUUACUCAAAAUAUGAUUGGUGGUGAACACAUUUAGAAAUUACUAACCGCGAGUGUUUUUGUCAGGUUUAGUGUUAAGUUCGUGUUCGUGAGGUGCAGAGAUGUAAGUUACAGAAGAGUGUGAAAGUUUCUUAUGCCGGUUCGAUUUCCUGAAAAAAAGGGUGAUUACAUGUAAAAUAACUUUUUGGAAUGUGCUUACAAUUUAUGUUAUAUAUGCUUUUGGCUUCUUUCAUUUCAUUUCGUUGACACAUCCUCUCGCCUCCUAGCCCUGGAGUCUGGCGCUGAAGACUGAAGCUGCUCAGUUACAUUCGGUAGGUUUUCUACUCCACUGAGAGAAUUCAUCAAAUGGUAAACUUAUUUUUUGAAACCAUUGAGUGUGGCAUUUCGCUGUUUCCAUGAUUUGAAACUGUAACUUUAAUAGUGGGACUGUUAAACAUUACGCACUAACAAUUUGGUUGUUGUGACGCAUAACACCGUGUUGAAGUGUCCGUCUCGCUCGCUGAAAAUGUGCAGUCUUUCUGCAGACAGAGAAAUAAUGCGGAACAUUUACCAGUAAUUUGAUUGACGUUAUCUAAUGCAAAAGUCUGAAAUUAGAGCGUGUUUUAAGAACUUGCAUUCGGCUUAAGUGUGAACAGCGUAAUCUGUACGUUGCUUGUUCUCAGCGCUGAAUAUCAUGUCUGUCAUGUCGUCAUAUCUGCGUCAAGACACAAACACGCUACCAUCAAGUUUUUCUUAUGACAAUUACGUUUAUGCAAGCAUCGUGAAAGUGAGUUAAAGGCACGUUAAACUGUAAAUCCGUCAGUCUUUAAAUUUCCUUCAGUUUCCUUUCCCUGUUGAUAUUCCCAGAAUAUCCCUCACACAUUGUCAGGACUGUCUAAUGAUUCAGAUAAGUAUAAAAAAGUAACUUGUGUCCACAGACUCACUUCAGAUUGAUAAUAUGCCUUCUCAUAGUAUCACUUGCACCACUUCAGGACUGUACACAAAACAGCAUAAAUACACGUUUUGACGGGCUCUUUUUUUGGAGUUCAACAUCAGACAGUCCUGAAGUGGUGAAGUGACACUGUGAGAAGGUGUACUAUCAUUUUUAAAAGUAACUGGUCUGCAGUUUUCUAUUUAGAGCUAUCCAAAAUCAAAGACAAAACGGGUCAUGGUAUGAGUUCUUGCAAGGCUUUAUUUUUGAAUUCAUCACCAGACAGUCCUGAAAUGGGGGGGUAAACUCUGCUGAGGUGUACUAUCAAUCUGAAGUGAAACUGAUUAGUGGAAACAGGGAUGUUUUAGAGCUAUAUAGAAAAUACAGGUUAUUUACAAGACAGGACUAGUCAUAUAUGACUUUUGAAGGGCUUUUAUUUUAUUAAUGCAACAUCAGACAGU
rnacentral:lncRNA from 1 species